rnacentral:rRNA from 1 species
UACAGGGGGUGCAAACGUUGCUCGGAAUCAUUGGGCGUAAAGCGCGCGCAGGCGGUUCUUUAAGUCUGGUGUAUAAGUGCGGGGCUCAACCCCGUGAGGCACUGGAAACUGGGGAACUUGAGUGCAGAAGAGGAGAGCGGAAUUCCACGUGUAGCGGUGAAAUGCGUAGAGAUGUGGAGGAACACCAGUGGCGAAGGCGGCUCUCUGGACUGUAACUGACGCUGAGGCGCGAAAGCGUGGGGAGCAAACAGG